CUCCGUAAUCCCCAGCGCAGGCUGGUGUAUGAGAGUAGCAACAAGAGCCUGACCCUCCAGAACGCCGGGAGGUUCUCUGUUAACUGGUUCAUCCUGUUCAACGACGCUCUGAUUCAUGCACAGGGUACCAUCCCCUCUAAGAGCUUUUUCUCAUCUCAUCAUGUCUACUCCCUGGCCACUCUCUGGGUGGAACCCAUCACUGACAUCACUGUUCUGUCUCCCUCCAGUUCUCAUCUCAUCAUGUCUCCUCCCUGGCCACUCUCUGGGUGGAACCCAUCACUGUUCUGUCUCCCUCCAGUUCUCAUCUCAUCAUGUCUACUCCCUGGCCACUCUCUGGGUGGAACCCAUCACUGUUCUGUCUCCCUCCAGUUCUCAUCUCAUCAUGUCUCCUCCCUGGCCACUCUCUGGGUGGAACCCAUCACUGUUCUGUCUCCCUCCAGUUCUCAUCUCAUCAUGUCUCCUCCCUGGCCACUCUCUGGGUGGAACCCAUCACUGUUCUGUCUCCCUCCAGUUCUCAUCUCAUCAUGUCUCC